UUGAGUUAGGAGUAGAUCUAGAGCAGUUUCAGUUUGUUGUUUGCAGAGUGAACGUUAUAAUUGUUGACUUUGUGCCAGCGGCGAAUUAAGAGUAAAAUUCGAGUCUCGAAAUCGACUUGUUCUUAAAGCAUAAGUAGCUUUGAAAAGUAUCAAUCAGCAUGUAAAAACGAAUGUUUAAACCGGAAGAGGUGAUGAAAGUGCGUUGAAAGUGCGUUCUCUGUCUGUGCUUGGAGACAGAAGAUUGAAAAUGAUAGCAGACGCGGGGAACACGAUGCGGAUGUUGGAGAGAAAAAAAGUACGAAGAUGCGAUUCGUGAACUUAUUGCCUGAUCAAAGUGAACGGUUGGUAGUUGAGGCAAGCGCGUCGUGCCUUCAGACGAAGGUACAUUCCACCCUUGAAGCUAUCCACUGAUACUGCAUUGCUGAUCAGAGUGUCGCAGGUAUCGAAGUACGUGUACAGUUUGUCGAUAUUCACGGAUUCGAAUUUCACACCUGGCACUUGCAGUUCGCUCUGAGAGUACUGAGACUGGAAUUUCUUGUAUCUGCGCGAACAUAACGCGUAACAAUUAUUUGUUGCAGGAUAGCAAAAUUUAGCUCUUCGUCGAGACUUCUGCUUGUAACAAUACGAAUACGUUAAUAACGAUCUGAUGUCGUUCACAUAUCUUUCUGACAUCUUCUAAACAGCCAACAUACCUGAAGAAAAGUCGAAGUUGAAGCCAAGGAUGUCACGUGCAAGUGCGUCGUACAUGCCGUAGAAUCUGGUGUUGCAGGAGUCUACGUUCCCUUCUAUCACGUUGCCGAGCAUGUUCAAACCUUCCGUGGCGGAUUUAACCCUUUGGCGGCCUGAAGUCAUCGUACCGAUCACGUCGAUCAUGAUCGAUGUUUAAACCAAUAGAAAAUCAAUAUUUAGACAUCCUUCGGCUAAUCUACCAAAUUUUAAUAUUCACCUAGACCGGUAAAUAUCAACUUCACGCGUAGUAAUUAAAAUACUCGCGAUGCAAUGGCCAGUUGAAAACUGCCUUCAAGACUCCCCUGGUAAGCGUGUCUCGUUGGACGAACUAAUUAUUUUUCACGCAUUUUAAAAAACGCGAGAAUCGUCCGAAGAACGCUUCAGAAUGAGCCCAUUGAAUGCUCGAUGGACGUUUCGAAUAUUCUAACGACUGUGCUGAUUCAACGAACAUCGUUUUAGCCAAGCUAGAACUUUAUCCCAGUCUGUGUAUAUAUAUAUAUUUUAUGUAAUUCUGAUAAUAGUUUAAUAAUCUAAAAAGAUGACAAGCACCUUUGAGAGCCUCAUUAUAGUGUUAUUAGCGUCAAGACUGCCCCACUACCUUAGCUAACGUAAAGAGAGUUAUUUGAAUGGAAAAUUCUUCUAUGAUCUGGAAGCGAGUAAAUAUGCUGACCAGGCUCGGUAUGUUCCUCCAUCUACAUCAAUGAAACAAUAUUACGAUUAUUAGAGAGUGUUACUUAACUUAGUAAUUCUUAUAUCGAUCCGCAAUCUUUUAAAUUAUUCUCUAUGCUGGCUUUUAUACUGAACUAUUUUCUAUACGCAGAAUAUAUCUCUGUCAUUUCUUAAAUCGAAGUAUGAAUUUUUAAUCUGGUCAAAUGUAUCAAUCAAAUGUAUAUUAUAUAUGCAGCUUAAGAUAUCAAGUAAAAGUGCGCCGAGGACUGACAAAUUUCCUUACACGAACGAAUGUAAGACGAUCUAAGCGAUAAAAGAGAUGCAAUGAUUCUCAGAACCAAUGACAUAGAGCGUGACGUGGAUCAAAGGCAAAAUACGAGCACUAAAAGUGUUAUUGUUUCAAUAGAUUAAUGUGAGAAUAACAGGCAUAUGGAAAAACACUAAAGUUAAUGGAAUGGAUUUCUCAGACUUUUACGGAACGUUAUGUUGAAUGUAAAAAAGAAGGAAAAAAUAAUUAUAUUUGUCGCGUGAUUUUUGUUCUCUAAACGAAAUAGAAUUAUACUAUUUUCGAAAGCUUAUUAAUUAAUACG